GAAUGCCGUGUGAUGGGAAACUAUCAUGCACGGUGUGGGACGGGGGAAAAGAUGGAGAUAACAUAAAAAUCUUACCUAUCGUCAU
rfam:Oscillibacter valericigenes Sjm18-20 DNA, complete genome.